CCCUUAGAUGUUCUGGGCUGCACGCGUGCUACAAUGGCGUUUCCAGCAAGUCUGCGAACCCGAGAGGGCCAGCGGAUCUUCGAAUUGGCGUCGUGAUCGGGACAGUCGAUUGCAAUUAUUUGACUCAAACGAGGAAUUCCUUGUAAUCGCGAUUCAUCAUAUCGCGCUGAAUACGUCCCUGCCCUUUGUACACACCGCCCGUCGCUCCUACCGAUUGAGCGAUCCGGUAAAUGUUUUGGAGUGGUGCCGGGGCGGCUAGCUGCCGGUCGCUACGAAAUUUUGUGAACCUUAUCGCUUAGAGGAAGGAAAAGUCGUAACA
rnacentral:rRNA from 1 species